rnacentral:lncRNA from 1 species
CACCGUCGCACUACCGGAGGGAGAGCCUCGUGUAUACCGGUCCUAGUUUAAUCCGUUGGUCAAAUAACGUGAAGACCUUUAUAAACAACUUGGACAUGUCACUUAUUUAAAGUAUUACUGGCUAAGCAUUUAUAAAACUUGUUUAUCUUUUGCUUAACGCAUCUUGAUUAUACAAUGUUAGCUGAUGCAUAUGUGCAUAUAUUUUAUACAUGUAUUCUAUUAGGCUAUUAGCAAAACGAUAUAUUCUAGUGGUAGUUUAAUAUUAGCCUAUUAGGAGAGACAAG